CACAAGCGGUGGAGGUAUGUGGUUUAAUUCGAUGCAACGCGAAGAACUACCUGGUCUUGACAUCCCGGAGACCCUUAGGAAACUAGGGGUGCUUCCAUCUGGAAGAAUCUGGAGACAGGUGCUGCAUGGCUGUCGUCAGCUCGUGUCGUGAGAUGUUGGGUUAAGUCCCGCAACGAGCGCAACCCUUGCCUUUAGUUGCCAGCAGUUCGGCUGGGCACUCUAAAGGGACUGCCGGUGUUAAACCGGAGGAAGGUGGGGAUGACGUCAAGUCCUCAUGGCCUUUAUGACCAGGGCUACACACGUACUACAAUGGCCGAUACAAAGGGCAGCGACACUGCGAGGUGAAGCCAAUCCCGUAAAAUCGGUCUCAGUCCGGAUUGGAGUCUGCAACUCGACUCCAUGAAGUUGGAAUCGCUAGUAAUCGUGGAUCAGCAUGCCACGGUGAAUACGUUCCCGGGCCUU
rnacentral:rRNA from 1 species